GCGGCGCUCCUACGGGAGGCAGCAGUAGGGAAUCUUCCGCAAUGGACGAAAGUCUGACGGAGCAACGCCGCGUGAGUGAUGAAGGUUUUCGGAUCGUAAAACUCUGUUGUCAGGGAAGAACAAGUGCCGUUUGAAUAAGGCGGCACCUUGACGGUACCUGACCAGAAAGCCCCGGCUAACUACGUGCCAGCAGCCGCGGUAAUA
rnacentral:rRNA from 1 species